rnacentral:rRNA from 1 species
CCCUUAGAUGUUCUGGGCUGCACGCGCGCUACACUGAUGCGCUCAACGAGUUUUAACCUUGCCUGGAAAGGUUGGGUAAUCUUUUUAAAACGCAUCGUGAUGGGGAUAGAUUAUUGCAAUUAUUAAUCUUCAACGAGGAAUUCCUAGUAAGCGCGAGUCAUCAGCUCGUGCUGAUUACGUCCCUGCCCUUUGUACACACCGCCCGUCGCUACUACCGAUCGGAUUGUCCUGUGAAUUUCUAGGAGAGUUGAGGUCCUGGCGCUUCGGUGUCGGCGACCUCAUGCUUGAAUUGAAUUGAACUGGACUCUCUAGAGGAAGUAAAAGUCGUAACA